CCACGAGUACCCACGGAUACCCGCACAUAUAUUUUUUAAUUCUAAAAUAUAUUUUCUUAAUUAAUAUAUAUUUUUUAUUUACUCAUCUUAAAAAUUCUAAUCCUAAUUUCUUAUUGCGUGUCUUUUAUAUUAUGAAUUAUUUUUGCUUUAAGACUUUAAAUAUUUUUAUUAUAUGUUAUGGUAUUUUAAACAAUGAGUUAUAUUACGUUUUUAAAACUUAUAUAUUUGUGUUUUGUAUUUAAAAAAUAUAAGAACGAAAAAAAAAAAAUUUGCAGGUAACCCGCAUACCCAUCCGCCCAUCCGCGGGCGGGUAUGGGUAAAGAUAUUGACUAUUUAAAAAUUUGCAGGUAAAUUUUACCCAUGCCCAAGUAAUCCGCGGGUAUAAUAACCCGUCCGCGGGUUACCCAAUCUACCCGUUUGUCGGGUCUAAUUGU
rnacentral:lncRNA from 1 species